AAACUACCUAACAAUAGUAUUUUCUGCUCUCUCAAGCACAUCGGUUCUCUUUUAUCCUGCCUGGGGCCUUGGUCUGUGAGCUUUCCACUUUCCUGCUCCAGUUUGGACUGACUGCUCUCUAGGCUCAGUGCUUGUCAUGGUUUCCUUCUUGGUUGUCAUUCUGGGACUUGUCCUUUAGAGGGUCCCCUGUUUCUGGGAUCCCUUGUCCUCUUGGUUUACUUCCUUGUUUUGCUGAAACAUCUCCUUUGGUAGCUUUCUGAGAAAGAGUGGAUGGGAGAUAAACUUUUCUGAGUCCUUACAUGAGUAAAAAUGCCUUUAUUCUACCUUUAUCUCUGAUAUUAGCCUGGCCAUGUGUGAGAUACUUCGUUGGAAAUAAUUUCUCCUCAGGUUUAGAAGGUGUUUCUCCCUUGUCUUCUAGUUUCCAGUUUGCUUAAGAUGUUCAAAGCCAUUCUGAUUUCCUGUUCCUUAGAUGAGGUUGGUUUUAUUCCACCAGAACCAUCCAAAGAUCAUCUGUUUAUCUCCACUUUUUGGUAAUUUCAUGGUGAUGGGCCAUAGUAUGGGGUUUUCUUUCUUUUGUAAACAAAAUUGACAGUGCUAUGCUUGCCUUUCACUUCUGAGAAACUGCUUAGAUUCUCUGCAAACUGUUUCUCCUCUAUUUUUCUUCUGUUAGCUGUCUCUAAAAGUGUCAUUAGGUAGCUGGACAUUGAACAUUCUAAUUUUCUUAUAUUUUCUUUUUCUAUUUUCAUUUAUUUUUGUUCUAGUUUCUGGGAGAUUUCUACAACUUUAUACUUUCUGGGAAUACGGACUCAUCCAGGAGCCCAUUGACAAAGCCUCUCUCCUUGACCACACUUUAGACAGGCUCCUCUGAGCCCUCUUUUCCACUAGGGGCUCCCCUUCCUGUCCCCCAGCCCACAUCCAAUCGGCCCCCACAUCCUGAAACUUCCCCUUUUAAAAACAGUUCUCACGUCUGUCCCUUUUGUCUGCACUGCCACAUCUCCCCCAAGCUGCCCCUUCUGGGCCCCCUGCCUGCCCCAGAAUCACCCUCUCCACUCAGCACCUGAGGGGUCUCCCAAGCUCCAAACUGGCCUGUCGCUCUUCUGCCCAAAAGCAUCUCAUGGUUGCCGCAAGCCCACGUGUGGCGAUGGGACCUAUGGGCCUGCUGGCCUCUGCGCUCUGGCCGCUGCACCUGGCAUCUGCUGUCACCUCUGCCUAGAGCACCCUUCCUG
rnacentral:lncRNA from 1 species